rnacentral:rRNA from 1 species
GAUGAACGCUGGCGGCGUGCCUAAUACAUGCAAGUCGAGCGAACAGACGAGGAGCUUGCUCCUCUGACGUUAGCGGCGGACGGGUGAGUAACACGUGGAUAACCUACCUAUAAGACUGGGAUAACUUCGGGAAACCGGAGCUAAUACCGGAUAAUAUAUUGAACCGCAUGGUUCAAUAGUGAAAGACGGUUUUGCUGUCACUUAUAGAUGGAUCCGCGCCGCAUUAGCUAGUUGGUAAGGUAACGGCUUACCAAGGCAACGAUGCGUAGCCGACCUGAGAGGGUGAUCGGCCCCACUGGAACUGAGGAACGGUCCAGACUCCCAAGGGAAGCAGCAGUAGGGAAUUUUCCGCCAUGGGCGAAAGCCUGACGGAGCAACGGCGGGUGGGUGAUGAAGGUCUUCGGAUCCUAAAACUCUGUUAAUAGGGAAAAACAAAUGUGUAAGUAACUAAGCACGUCUUGACGGUACCUUAAUAAAAAGCCACGGCUAACUACGUG